rnacentral:rRNA from 1 species
GCCUAGCCCUAAAUCUAGAUACUUACCCAACCAAAGUAUCCGCCUGAGAACUACGAGCACAAACGCUUAAAACUCUAAGGACUUGGCGGUGCCCCAAACCCACCUAGAGGAGCCUGUUCUGUAAUCGAUAACCCACGAUACACCCGACCCCUUCUUGCCCAAAGCAGCCUACAUACCGCCGUCCCCAGCUCACCUUAUUUGAGAGCCCAAACAGUGAGCGCAACAGCAACGCUAGUAAGACAGGUCAAGGUAUAGCCCAUGAAGGGGAAGAAAUGGGCUACAUUUUCUAGCAUAGAAAACGAAAGGAGGCCUGAAAAGACUUCCAGAAGGAGGAUUUAGUAGUAAAGACGGACAAGAAUGCCCUCUUAAACUUGGCCCUGGGA